AUGCCUGCAAGUUAUAUGGAGAUUUACUACCCUGCUUGGAACUGCAGAUCCUUGAAGCUGGGGAUGGAGUUGGUGCAUCCCCUGGGUGAGACACAAAAGUUUGCCAGUCACCCAGCAAGGUCUCUUCAUUUAACUGAAGGCAUUGCUUGUACCCUUGCAAACUGUCUCAGACCACUCUGGAACAAGUCGGAGCAGCUCUAUAUGGCUGUCAACCUUUUUAGAUGUCUUCACAACACUCCCACUUUGUGCUGUAGAAAUUCCUUGGGGCCCCAAGCAUGUAUCGUUUGCACUGUGUGAUCUUGCUGGCCUGAUCACCUUGACUGGAACUGAGCAACGUAUCUGACUCAAGCUGAGCCAUGGACUCUUUCCUCCAGGAAUCUGACAUUGGAGCAGACAAAUGCCAUGCUGUGCUAGGCAAGGCCCAGGCUGCGUGAAUAUCUGCAGCACUGAUUCUCAACCUUGGCUGCCCAUGGAGUUGCCUGAGACACUUUUAAAAGUCCAUCUCCUACUCAGCAGACUCAUAGAAUGGCGGAUGUCCUAAAUAGCACUCUGGCCUCAGAAUCAGCCCUAAAGGCACUCGGAUCUGGCUGAAAAGCCCAUGAGAGUAUUUCAGGCAUGGAAAGCCAAGACACUCUGGCAAAAAGAUCUCUGUGAGUGAGAUCCCAGUGGAAAGAACAGGUCUUCAAAGAGGGAGGUGCCUUUCUCUGAAGGGAGGAGAGAACCUCCACUUUGACUAUGACCUUAUCUAAACAAGGUAAGAGUCGGAGAACUCAAGGGGCUUCCAUAGCCUUGGAAACUCAUGACUGGUGCAUAGGGAGAUUACUGAUGCCAUAAACAGAAGUGUCAAUUUGUAAAGUCAACAACAGGAGUCACUGUGCACUUACUCCUCAUGUAGGAUAUCUGUCCUUAAUGUGCUGUACACUGAGGCUUAAUGCUAUAACGAGUACUCAAACAGUAUAUUUCACUUUGUGUUUCUAUGGGGGUGCAAACGAUUGAAAUCUUUACUUAAUGUACACUAAACUGAUCUUCUGUAAAAAAAAAAAAAAAGAAAAAAGAAAUUAUCAAUUCCCAACUUGACUCUCACUGGGAUUAAACAUGACAAUAGGUCUGAUCUGAUUUCAUCAUCAUUCAAAAAAAAUCAUCUAUUAUUUUUCACUUUAUGUUUCUGUGUGGGAGCAAACUGUUGAAAUCCUUACUUAAGGUAUACUAAGCUGAUCUUCUGUAUAUUAAGAUAAUCGAAAAUGAAUCUUGAUGUGAAUGGAAGGGGAGAAGGAGUGGGAAAGGGGAUGGUUGUGGGUGGGAGGGACGGUAUGGGGGGGGGAAGCCAUUGUAACCCAUGAGUCGUACUUUGGAAAUUUAUAUUCAUUAAAUAAAAGAUAAAAAAAAAUAAAAAAAAAGUCCA
rnacentral:lncRNA from 1 species